UACGGAGGGUGCGAGCGUUGUCCGGAAUCACUGGGCGUAAAGGGCGCGUAGGCGGCCGUGUAAGUCACUUGUGAAAUCCCGGGGGCUCAACUCCCGGGGCUGCAGGUGAGACUGCGUGGCUAGAGCUUGGUAGAGGCGAGUGGAAUUCCCGGUGUAGCGGUGGAAUGCGUAGAUAUCGGGAAGAACACCGGUGGCGAAGGCGGCUGCGCUGGGCCAAUGCUGACGCUGAGGCGCGAAAGCGUGGGGAGCAAACAGG
rnacentral:rRNA from 1 species